rfam:Ovis aries breed Texel chromosome 17, whole genome shotgun sequence.
UCCCUGGUGGCUCAGUGGUAGAGAACCCGCCUGCCAAUGCAGGAGACACGGGUUCGAUCCCUGAUCCGGGAA